rnacentral:lncRNA from 1 species
AAAGUGCAGAUUUACCUACUCUAAGAGAUCUAUCUAAAGCAUCAAACAAUUUCAUGAAUUAUUAAGGUCGAAAUCUGACCUUCUUUGAAGCACAGGUGUUGAAUCGCGCGUUUUAAGCCUUGAAAUGUGAAAACAGAACUUCUAUGAUGCUUGGAUAGAUGAAUGGAACAAGGUUUGUUGCUCAAUUACGCACGAUCUUGAUGAAAUCUCCAUUUGCCAUUGUUGCACCUCACUUUAACAGUCCACGAUUUGGCUUGAUA